rnacentral:tRNA from 1 species
CGCGGAGUGGAGCAGUUGGUAGCUCGUCGGGCUCAUAACCCGGAGGUCGUAGGUUCAAGUCCUGCCUCCGCAACCA